CUGUAAAUAGUUUUCUAAGAAAUAUUUAUUACAUGUUCUGUAUACAAAGUCGCAUUCUGAGUGAUGUUGGUGUGCAUUAUAUUGUAGAAGAUUAUAUUUUGAGUAGUGGACCUCUUUUACAACACAGUUCACUCAUGGAGAAAGAAACAAACCAGCAGGUUGAGAGCUGUCUGGGGCAUUUGACCUGUAAUGGACCAUCCAAUCCAAGCUUUAACCGCCCCCUCUUCUCCCCUGCUUGUGUUAUAUAUGUUAUAUAUACAGGUGUACAGUACAGGUCAGUGCUUGGGUCUGCAGAGCAGAUUCCCAGGUCUUCUUUCUGACGUGUUCCCAUAGCAAUAUGACCCCAGGUGCUG
rnacentral:lncRNA from 1 species